GACCUGGUGGUGAAAUGAAUCAUACCUGCAAUUGGUGCGGCACUGUGCGAUCUUGUAGAUGCAGGCGGGAGGUCCCGGUUCAAUUCCGGGCUGGGUCA